UGGAAUUUCUACAUCGUAGGAUUUGGAAACAUUGUGAUGUUUUUCUCAUGAAUAUACGUUUAAAAUAAAUAAACACUAAAAGUACACGCUGACAGUUGAUUACGAUACAUCCAACAAUUUGAGUCAUUACAGUUAAACAUGGAUUAUAAGUGAAAUAUACGCGUAAGAGAAGAUUUUCUCUCGAAAAAACGAACUGUCAACAAUCGGCAUGGAACUUGGAUAUUCGUAUCAAAGGGCUCUGAAUGCAGGAAAAUGACUGAAUAUUACUUAGUCUACAACACUGGGUUAUGAAGAAUUCCAGCCUGCAUUAAAUACUAUGUUGGAUCCUUGAGAGCGGAUUUAACAGCCAUGUCCAUCCACAAGGCAGUCGCAUCUGAUCGAGAUGAUCACUAAACAUUCUUGAUGGGUAAAGUACCUGAAGGUGCAUGAAAACCAAAUCAGCAUUGACUCAGCAUUGAGUAGUUAUCAUCUGUGCACACACUACAAGUACAAAGCAUGGGAACAGACCAACCUUCAAAUGGUGAAGAGUGAAGAAUUAUUGUGAAAAAAACUAAUUGUUAGAAUACCAAUGACAAAAUACAACAGAUAUACAUCAAAUUACCCACAGAGAUUGUUUACAUGUUAUAAUAUUUAAAAAAAAAACAUUAGUUGAGAACUUUCACUCUGAUAUUUUUGGUGUUCUUGUUUCUUCACAUAUUUUAGUUUAAAAGUACACUCAUUUGUUUUAAACUCUGUUUUCUGAGUUAGUAUCACAGUGCUCCAGCUAGCCAGUUUUUCAAUGGCGCAGCGCCCGUGCCCCUUUUCUUACCGCCCUGCCCCCUUUUUGAGUAGUGCCCUUUUCACAAAUGCUCUAUUAACCCCAAAUAUCCCGUUAGUGCCCUUUUUACUAUUGAAAUCAUUAUAAAAGAUUGACAGCCCUUAAUCCGCUGUCAUAAUUGAGACAAAUUACGUAAUACUUAUGAUAAUAGUGUUCCCGCUAGGUGUCACCAUGCUCUCAUUGAUUGCUUAAAAUAUGCCGUACUGCCCUUUCAUCUUUCCAUGUGCCUUGACCAAGUCAUAUGACAGCUAAUUGUGUAUUUGUGUAGUGAGCAGACGACCUGUGUAUUCAUAAUCGGUCAUCUACUAAUCCGAUAAUUAGGAAGAGCCAAAUAGGGAAACAUCGGCAGGAGGCGUGCCUAUCGAAUGUCAGCCAAUCAGAAUAUACAUUGAGAACUCGUUCAACCAAUGAUGAAAGUUCGUAAAAUGCGAUAGAAAAUGCGAAGGGAUGGUGAAAAAUGUUGUGAAGCACAAUUAAAUCUUUUAAAAUAAUUGUUUAUUGUAUUGUACAGACGAGACUUGCCAUUUUCAACAUUGUUGAUUUGAAGCAGACGGC